UACGUAGGGGGCGAGCGUUGUCCGGAUUUAUUGGGUUUAAAGGGUGCGUAGGCGGCCCUAUAAGUCAGUGGUGAAAUAUCGCAGCUUAACUGUGAGGGUGCCAUUGAUACUGUAGGGCUUGAGUGAAUUUGAGGUAGGCGGAAUUGACGGUGUAGCGGUGAAAUGCUUAGAUAUCGUCAAGAACACCGAUAGUGAAGACAGCUUACCAAGCUUCAACUGACGCUGAGGCACGAAAGUGUGGGGAGCAAACAGG
rnacentral:rRNA from 1 species